rnacentral:rRNA from 1 species
CAAUAGCGUAUAUUAAAGUUGUUGCAGUUAAAAAGCUUGUAGUUGGAUUUCUGGUAGGAGUGACCGUUCCGAACUUGAUUGUUCGUGUAUUGUGUUUUCUCCAGCCAUCCUUGUGGAGAACUUUUCUUGCAUUAAUUUGUAGGGAUUGGGACCCGCAUCGUUUACUGUGAAAAAAUUAGAGUGUUUAAAGCAGGCAAUCGCUUGAAUACAUUAGCAUGGAAUAAUAAGAUAGGACUUUGGUACUAUUUUGUUGGUUUGCAUACCAAAUUAAUGAUCAACAGGAACAGUUUGAGGAUAUUCGUAUGAACAUGUCAGAGGUGAAAUUCUUGGAUUUUGAUCAGACGAACUACUGCGAAAGCAUUUAUCAAGGAUGUUUUCAUUAA